AUCACAACGACCAAAAGCUCCAUCAACACAACAACCACGAGAAAGAAGACGACCACAAACUCCUCCAACACAAUUGCCCCACACUCCAUUGGAACGAUUACAAAAUAUCGUAUCUCAUUGGGCUGAUGGCGAGUGUGUCAAUCUAGGCAUAGAGUCUGAAGUUUUUGAUCAAGAUAUGUCUCAUUGUUAUAUAUUUAAGGAUGACAUACUUCAGUUUGCUCGAAAGGAGAAGAUUGGACAAGCAGUGGUCGUUAGCUACAUGAGGUUCAUUUACAGAUAUGUGGUACAACAAGGUCGCCAAAAUAAGUUUUUAUUUGUCAAUCCUAAUAUUGUAGCCACUCAAGGGAGUUCAUUUGACGAUCGUGUUCAAAAUUUGUUCAGACGAUGCAAUGACAUAAAAUCAAAAGAACAAGUUAUGCUUGUCCCUUGGAACCAUGGGUAAGUUUAAAAAGUUGUCAUUUUUCUGACUCAUAUCAAUACUUUCUUUGUUUAACAUUUGAGUUAUAAUUUUUUUUUGUUUUUCUUAUGCAGUGAACAUUGGAUGUUGCUUAUUUUGGCACCGUAUGCAUAUCAUGUUUAUUGUUGUGAUCUGGUGGAUUCAGAUCUGAAUAACCGUGAGGAGAUUGUAUCAGUGAUCGUCAGCGCUUUCAAUCUUUUUUUCUCUAUGAAUCUUCCUGAUGUCGAGAUCCCUGAUACUCUACGCAUUAAGCAACCUUAGUGUCCACACCAACCGGACAAUGUGGCAUGUGGAUACUACAUAAUGAGGAUGUUGAAGGAUUUGAUUGAACAUGCGAGUCCCGGACAUUACUUAAGAACGGUAUUAUUAAUUAAAAUUUACAAAUUAUUUUUGAAACCAUAUAUAUAAAUGUAAUCAAAUAAUUAAUUAAUAUAUUUUACUUUAUAUUUUUUGCAGCUAACAAGUAAGGCAUAUACAGAGGCACAAAUUGAUGAGUUGCGACAAGAAUGGGCGACAUAUAUGUCACCAAUAAUCCAAAGUAACCGACCUCGUUGAUAGGUUAUUUUAUUUUUUACCUCUUUCUUCAUACAUAAAUGCAAUAUUUGUUAAUUUUUAAUAUGUCUAACAAAUAUUGUAUUUGGUUUUUUUAUUUUUUUUAUUUUUUACAUCCUUCUUCAUACAC